GCCGGGUUGGCGGAAUGGCAGACGCGGCGCACUCAAAAUGCGCUGUCCUCAGGGCGUGCGGGUUCGAGUCCCGCACCCGGCA
rnacentral:tRNA from 1 species